rnacentral:rRNA from 1 species
AUUGAACGCUGGCGGCAUGCCUUACACAUGCAAGUCGAACGGUAACGCGGGGCAACCUGGCGACGAGUGGCGAACGGGUGAGUAAUGCAUCGGAACGUGCCCAGAAGUGGGGGAUAGCCCGGCGAAAGCCGGAUUAAUACCGCAUGAGACCUGAGGGUGAAAGCGGGGGGUCGCAAGACCUCGCGCUUUUGGGGCGGCCGAUGUCAGAUUAGCUAGUUGGUGGGGUAAAGGCCUACCAAGGCGACGAUCUGUAGCUGGUCUGAGAGGACGACCAGCCACACUGGGACUGAGAAACGGCCCAGACUCCUACGGGAGGCAGCAGUGGGGAAUUUUGGACAAUGGGCGCAAGCCUGAUCCAGCCAUGCCGCGUGCGGGAAGAAGGCCUCCGGGUUGUAAACCGCUUUUGUCAGGGAAGAAACGCUCUGGGCUAAUACCCUGGGGUAAUGACGGUACCUGAAGGAUAAGCACCGGCUAACUACGUGCCAGCCGCCGCGGUAA